CGAUAUGCUUUAAAAAUGCAAAGACGUUAAAUUAAAUUUUAUAAAUCUAGAAAAUUAUAAAUUCGGAAAUUCCAGCGGUUAUAAUUACAAAUUUUUGUUAAAUAAACGAAUUUUUAUAUGUAAUCUGUUAAACAUAGACGAAUCACUAUUGAAUCAUUAUUAAAAUUAUAAUUCCAAUUUCCGUUUCUUACGAAUAUAAAAUUAGAAAAAAUUUUUAAAAUACAUAUAUGUAUAGAAAAGUAUUCCUGUAAUUAGAAUAAGUAAAAUUUAUACCAUGGCGCGCCGCGAUCUAUCGCGCAUGCGUACGCGCAACACAUGCAAGAUAGAAGUGACGAUAGCUGGAAGUGAUUCUGUGAGACAAAGAUACAAACAGCUUAUAAGAUAUAGAUAACUACAGGUUAUCAAUGUUACUGUUACUCAUCGCCAUUUGUAUAUAACUAUCGCGACAUUCCGACAUAAUCAUUGCUUUCCAGAAAGGACACAGUCUUUGAAAGGAAUUUCUCUUGAUAUUUGGAUAAACAACUACAUGACUUGUUACAUAGAAGAAAGAUCUCAUGAGGCGAGAGCAAAGCAUUUCCGGAAAUGCACGUCGCUAUAGUAGUUGGUCAAGGCCAUCGACUCAUUGAACAUCCUUCCAUGGCAAGGUACAAAGAGGAAUGUGGAACGGCAACCUGUCGAUCUACACAUAGGCGUAUAAACCGUAUUUUUUAUUCUUCACAUGUUAAUACGUUAUGGUCAUUCUAAAAUUUUAUAGUUACGCUUAUCGUAUUUAAGCAAAUGAUUACAUAUGAAAUACUUGUCCUCUUCGAAUUUUGGUUAAGUUCAACUUAUACCGAAGUUUAACGAUAAAAUAGAUUGGGAAAUGAAUUUUUUUUAAUUUCAAGAUUCGGAAUCUAUCUCACAACGUUAUAUAUUUGGAAAAAUCGUAGAUAUGAAAAGAUUAAAGCGCAAAAUUUUUAGCAUGUUUCGUCGAAAUUUAAAUAAUCGUGUUUACGACAUUGGUGAACGAAUGUAUCAAGUUUACCGCUUGGAGCGCUGCAGGUCAUUGAUUCGUGACUCCAUAAUAGUUCUUGAUGUUGUUUUAAAAAACGUCAACAAUGACCUAAUACUAUAUGAGCUCUAGAAAGUUUAACUGGUAAUGUAGGAAAUCCGUAUACCGCGUCAUGCUGCUCUCACAUACUUAACCUUCAUGACACAAUGAAACUGAAUUGCAUGGAUUUUCUAUUGGGAUCACAAGCGAUAUAUGUAUAAUUUAACAAACUUAAAGAAUUUACGAUCAGUUUAAAAAUCAUCUACUAUUACUAUCAUUCAUAUUUUGUAUUUUAAAGAUUAAUUGUGUGCAACCAUCCCAAUAUUGUAUUCGUUUGCCUUCUUUUUUUUGUUUUAAAAAAAUAUAAUCAUAAAUAAAAUUACCAAAUUAUUUUCUCCAAUAUUGUAAUUCAAAUAAAGAUAUAAUAUAUAACUUACCAGCAAAAAUAAGAUACAACUAAAUAACGAACGUUCUCGAGUCUUCUAGUAUAACGAUGACGCCUUCUGCAGAAAGUAGAUGCGUAGUAGAAUUUGCUAAUAAGAGCGGAAGGUAUUACAUAGAAAACAAUUUGGACACUUGGUAGGAUAGAUGACAUUUAUUCCAUUAUUUUAUUGUUAUUACUUACUACUUGAAUGCUAUACUCGUAAUAGAUAUCUAUAAUUAUGUCUAUAAUUAUGCGUGAAUUUAAAGAAUACGUGAGGUCAGCCGCAAGAUGUACAGCUCGUGUCAGUUACAAUUGUCAUAGUUAUAUAGGUAAAUAAUUAUAGAAAGAAAUUUACGUUUUUAAUUCUGAAUGCAAACGUUCGUUAACGGGGUUGGGAACGAUGGCAGCUCAUUGAUUUCUGUUAAUCUCUAGUUUUUCGCUAUCGAUCGAUUUCAUAAUUUACACACACUUCGAUUCUUUUUAUCGCGGCUAAGAUAUUCUUUUGUCCUAUUAUUUUCCUCUUUUUUUUCGUUUUAAUGCGUUUUUAAAAAUUACUCAAUCACUGUUUUCCUGCCAACCUAACACCCUUACUUAUUAUAAAUUCCUAAUUAUCUUACGAAAUCGUAACGCGCAAUAAUAGUACACGAGAUAUCAUUUCUUUUUUUUCCCUCUUACUUCUUCUCUAAUCACGGCGAGUUCAACUCUCGUUUUAAACAAUAUACAAAUAUCUUUUCUUAUAUAUAUCCUCUCGAUAUAUCGAUUAAACUCGUGAUCUUUUACAACUUAUUCUGCGCUAAAAACGAUCAAAUACAAACUAUAUACUUCUUUCGUCUGAAAAUUUUUGGUCUACGUUUAACGCAACACAUCCCUCUAAACAUUUUUUACAUUAAAAUUUUGUUCAUAAUACUUAUCUAUUUCAUAAAAGAAGGAAAAUUGUUUGCUAUUUCGCUGGAACGAAUCGCUAAUGGACGACGAACGAAAUAACA